CACGUAGGGCGCGAGCGUUGUCCGGAAUUAUUGGGCGUAAAGAGCUCGUAGGCGGCCUGUUGCGUCCGCUGUGAAAGCCCGGGGCUUAACCCCGGGUCUGCAGUGGAUACGGGCAGGCUAGAGGUAGGUAGGGGAGAAUGGAAUUCCUGGUGUAGCGGUGAAAUGCGCAGAUAUCAGGAGGAACACCGGUGGCGAAGGCGGGUCUCUGGGCCGUAACUGACGCUGAGGAGCGAAAGCAUGGGGAGCGAACAGG
rnacentral:rRNA from 1 species